UACGAAGGGUGCGAGCGUUAAUCGGAAUUACUGGGCGUAAAGAGCCCGUAGGCGGUCUGAUAAGCGGAAUGUGAAAUCCCCAGGCUUAACCUGGGAACUGCAUUCGAGACUGCAUUGCUAGAGUAUGGGAGAGGGAAGUGGAAUUUCCGGUGUAGCGGUGAAAUGCGUAGAUAUCGGAAGGAACAUCAGUGGCGAAAGCGACUUCCUGGACCAAUACUGACGCUCAUGUGCGAAAGCGUGGGGAGCAAACAGG
rnacentral:rRNA from 1 species